rnacentral:lncRNA from 1 species
UGUUGGUGUCAUGUGAAUGCCUUAUAGGCGAGAGGAACACUUUUGCUCGCUUAUUGUCAUGAGUGUUAGGCGUUUCGCCAGAGACAAAGAGGAAUGUGGCAAAGGAGGAGGGUGACAUUCGCUGGUCGGGAAUGAUUUCGAAGCAUGUUUGCGACGAGCAUGGUCACUGGUGACGAGAAGGUGGUGGUAGUGAGAGAGAAAAAUCUUGUGCAUGAUGCGAUAUUGCACUAUUUAAUAAAAGUUGUAUUAUUCAAAUAUAUGUUGGACUAUUUAGCAAGAAAAUUGUAUUAUUUUACAGUUUAAUACACAUAUCAAAAAAUGCAACUCUUUUGCUAAAUAUUGCAAUAUAUAUAUGCUUGAAUAAUGCAAUUUUUUGACAUAGUGCAAUAAAAUAUUAUUCGCCAGAUUUUUCUCUCUCUCAUUAUCACCAUCACUUCGCAACUGCCAUCACGCUCACAAGCGUGCUCAGGAGCAUUCUCAACCAGUGA